AAACUUAAAUGAAUUGAGGGGCCCGCACAAGCAGCGGAGCAUGUGGUUUAAUUCGAAGCAACGCGAAGAACCUUACCUAGACUUGACAUCUCCUGCAUUACCCUUAAUCGGGGAAGCCCUUCGGGGCAGGAAGACAGGUGGUGCAUGGUUGUCGUCAGCUCGUGUCGUGGGAUGUUGGGUUAAGUCCCGCAACGAGCGCAACCCCUGUGGUUAGUUGCCAGCAAGUAGCGUUGGGCACUCUAGCCAGACUGCCGGUGAUAAAUCGGAGGAAGGUGGGGACGACGUCAAAUCAUCAUGCCCUUUAUGUCCUGGGCUACACACGUACUACAAUGGCCGUUACAACGGGAAGCGAAGGAGCAAUCCGGAGCAAAUCCCUUAAAGGCGGUCCCAGUUCAGAUUGUGGGCUGAAACUCGCCCACAUGAAGGCGGAAUUGCUAGUAAUUGCAGAUCAGCAUGCUGCAGUCGAAUACGUUCCCGGGCCUU
rnacentral:rRNA from 1 species